rnacentral:rRNA from 1 species
CGGGUGAAUUGCAGAAUCCCGUGAACCAUCGAGUCUUUGAACGCAAGUUGCGCCCGAAGCCAUUUGGUCGAGGGCACGUCUGCCUGGGCGUCA